GCCGGGAUAGCUCAGCUGGGAGAGCAACAGACUGAAGCAGCGCUCAAUGCUUGUGUUCUGGAGGUCGCGUGUUCAACCCACGCUCCUGGCA